CUAGCAAGUGUGGGGAGAAGGUCGCCGGGACCUGGGCCCGAGUGAGGCUUCGUGGAGGGGAGUGGUGGCCCAGAAGCGGGGGGAAAGGGCCAGUUUCCGGAGGCUCUUCCCGCCCGGCUGGGGACGCCGCAGGCAACCUUUGCGAGGUCUUUGCAAAGGCCCAGCUGGGUCGGAGCAUCUCUCAGGAACACCACCUGCUCGCAGGCAGUGACAGCAAUGAGGACCAACGGGGCUUGGCCGGGGCGGCGGGGGGUCUGCAGGGAGAGGACGGAUGGGGCAGAGCCGGCAACCUGCCCGCAGCCCCCUGUCGCUCCCCCUGCCAAUCCAUCACGGAUCCGGGGGGCGCCACCGCCCCCCACCCCCAGUCCCGCGGCCGCUGAGUCGGAAGGACCGCCCUCUCUCAUCUGGAUUCACUCGGCGGCUUCCUACCCGCCUCCGCCCCCUGCGAGCUCUUCUCAGCAAGGCCCCGACGCAGAUGCGUCCAAGAUGCUUUUCUCUGCUUCAUGUCAUUCCGGGCGACAGCUCUGCCCCUCCUCCAGCGGCCCUCACUGCACCGCCAGGAAAUGCUAACGAGUUCGGGCAGAAGGAAAAUGAUACAAGUCAGAAACUUGGACUCACACAGGGAAAGGAAGAGCAUCAAAGGAGAAAUCAGUCGAGCCAAGCCGUUGCGGCUCUUUUUCUGAGUCUGAACUUCUUCGUGAUAAAGACAGCCGAGCGGGGAAAUGAAAGAAACAACUACGAUGAAAUGGCUCCAGGGUAAACUAUUAAGCGCCAAAGGCAACGGGCAAGAGACUGCGUGUGGAAUGAUCCCAUUUGCAUAAAUGGAAAACUAAGAAAUUUAUUUACAGUACAAGUUCCUAGAUGUGGACCUGCUGGGUCAGAGAGCAUCGUCCAGCUUUAAUUUUCAGAGAUAUUGCCAAAGUGCUCUGCAAAGAGAUCGCCCGAAACUGCCCUCUCCCAGCAGAAUACAAUUACUGUAUAAAUUGAGGGAAGACCACACUUUGCUUUGCUUGGAACUUUAUCCGCUCCUUCACCAUUUUGGACGUCACGACGCUGAUGGCAAGGCGGCUCUUCAUAUUCGAGUGCCCAGUACAGCACAUCUCAAUCGCAUCUCGGUCGAUUGUUCAGCAUCUCAGCAGCCCCAUUCAUGGCAGUUCGACAGCUCGGUCGCUCACUGGGUGACUUGGUUGCAUCUUCCGGUGUAAUCAUGCCUGAGUAUUUACACAUCGAGAGAAACACUACACAUUAGAAACUACUUUCACUUCUCGUUUACAUUAUAAUUGAGGAGUUAUAUUGAUCUAUUCUUUAAUUUGGAUUUCGUUGGUGGAGAGCCAAGGGGGUAUCAGAAAUGUUUAUUUAUAGGGGCCCCCGGGGUGGCUCAGCCGGUUAAGCGUCCGAUCGUGGUCUCACAGUUCUUGAGUUCGAGUCCUGCGUCAGGCUCUGUGCAACAGCUCAGAGCCUGGAGCCUGCUUUGGAUUCUGUGUCCCCCUCUCUCUCUGCCACUCCGCCACUCGUACUCUGUCUCUCAAAAAUAAACAAACAGUAAAGAAAAAUUAAAAAAAAUAAAUGUUUAUAAAUGACAUCGGAUAUGAUAGGGUCGUAGCAAUGGCUCUAAUCUUGGUAAUAUGCUUAAUUCUCUCUUUACCAACUUUAGCUAAUAUCUACUGGCUCUUUGAUGUGAAAGAUGAGAAUUUAUGUCACUUACAUUAUCCAUCCUCUCAAAGCUCUAAUUAAAAAAAUUUUUUUUUAACAUUUAUUCAUUUUUGAGAGACAGAGCGUGAGUGGGGGAGGGGCAGAGAGAGAGGGAGACGCAGAAUC